rnacentral:rRNA from 1 species
UACGUAGGGUGCAAGCGUUGUCCGGAAUUAUUGGGCGUAAAGAGCUCGUAGGCGGUCUGUCGCGUCGGCUGUGAAAACUCGGGGCUCAACUCCGAGCUUGCAGUCGAUACGGGCAGGCUAGAGUUCGGCAGGGGAGACUGGAAUUCCUGGUGUAGCGGUGAAAUGCGCAGAUAUCAGGAGGAACACCGGUGGCGAAGGCGGGUCUCUGGGCCACUACUGACGCUGAGAAGCGAAAGCAUGGGGAGCGAACAGG